ensembl:snoRNA
AGCACUACAUUUAAACCUAUGAGUGGGAAGUUUCCCCAUUCUUUGUUAUGCUGUAGUGCAAAACAGUUCUUGGCUUUCUCUGUUGCACAACUGACUUGUGCCAUUCUGCUAUUGCUGUAUGGAGUUAAGGAAUAUGA